UGAGGAAUAUUGGUCAAUGGAGGGAACUCUGAACCAGCCAUGCCGCGUGCAGGAAGACGGCCCUCUGGGUUGUAAACUGCUUUUAUUCGGGAAUAAACCUAUUUACGUGUAAAUAGCUGAAUGUACCGAAGGAAUAAGGAUCGGCUAACUCCGUGCCAGCAGCCGCGGUAAUACGGAGGAUCCAAGCGUUAUCCGGAUUUAUUGGGUUUAAAGGGAGCGUAGGUGGCCUUAUAAGUCAGGGGUGAAAGACGGUGGCUCAACCAUCGCAGUGCCCUUGAUACUGAUGAGCUUGAAUGGACUAGAGGUAGGCGGAAUGUGACAAGUAGCGGUGAAAUGCAUAGAUAUGUCACAGAACACCGAUUGCGAAGGCAGCUUACUAUGGUUUAAUUGACGCUGAGGCACGAAAGCGUGGGGAUCAAACA
rnacentral:rRNA from 1 species